CCUACGGGAGGCAGCAGUGGGGGAUAUUGCACAAUGGGGGAAACCCUGAUGCAGCAACGCCGCGUGAGUGAUGACGGCCUUCUGGUUGUAAAGCCAUGUCUUCAGGGAAGAUAAUGACGGUUCCUGAGGAGGAAGCCACCGCUAACUACGUGCCAGCAGCCGCGGUAAUACGGGGGAGCCGAGCGUUAUCCGGAUUUAUCGGGUUUAAAGGGUGCGUAGGCGGGUCGUUAAGGCAGGGGUCAAAUUCAGGGGCUCAACCCGUUCCCGGCAGUGAAACUGGAGUUCUUGAGUGGAGGAGAAGUAGGCGGAAUGCGUGGUGUAGCGGUGAAAUGCGUAGAUAUCACGAAGAACACCAGUUGCGAAGGCAGCAUGCUGGCUUCCGACUGACGCUGAAGCACGAAAGCGUGGGGAUCGAACAGGAUUAGAUACCCGAGUAGUC
rnacentral:rRNA from 1 species